rnacentral:lncRNA from 1 species
UUAUUUUGGAUUUGGAAUAUGUAGCUCAUGUCUCAGACUUUGGAACAUCUAAGUUUCUAAAUCCCAAUUCAUCCAAUAUGACUUCUUUUGCAGGCACCUUUGGAUAUGCCGCUCCAGGUCAAUUCCUUUUCAUUCUUUUUUUUAUAUUAAUUAAGGUUAUAAUAUUUGUAGUUUAUCUUUAGUAGUUACAUGUAAAAUAGAGUUAUAACACAAUUGUCUAAUCUACAUUUCAUGUUUUGUUUAUGGAAUUAUAUUUUACACACGAUAACUCUUCUUUGAAUGUUUACAGAACUUGCAUACACAAUGGAAGUAAAUAAGAAAUGCGAUGUAUAUAGUUUUGGGAUAUUAACCUUGGAAAUACUUUUUGGAAAGCACCCUGGAGAUAUUGUAACUUAUUUGUGGCAACAACCUUCACAAAGUGUUACGGACCUGAGACUUGAUACGAUGCCAUUGAUAGAUAAGUUGGACCAGCGUCUCCCUCAUCCCACAAAAACCAUUGUUCAAGAGGUGGCAUCGAUGAUAAGGAUUGCAGUUGCUUGCUUAACAGAAAGCCCGCUUUCUCGCCCUACCAUGGAGCAGGUCUGCAGGCAGUUUGUAAUGUCAUAAUCAUCUUCAAAUAUAUAUUGUCUCAUAUAUAUAGCCUAAAUGUUGUUUUCACCAAAUAUGCUUCUCUACUACUUCAUUGUUUCAUAUUUGUAAAACUUUUUGUUUGUAUUGUAAAUCAUUUGAACUGGGUGGUAUUAUCAAAUUUUACGUUCAGUCAAACAUGUGAUUAUAAAUUCAUAGUUUAAAGUACACUUUAAAUAUUACUAUAAUUUUAAAUUUUGUUUUAACUUUUUAUGAAACAUUUAUAUGCGUAUAAAAGUGAACCUAUUGAUACUACAUGGUAAUGUUCUUCAUAAACAAUUUAUCAUAUAUAAGUUUAUCAGACAAAGGUGAAAGCCUACCUCGAUAGAAAUAAAAAACACAAUUCCCCGACUGCAUUUUCUGAAAAGAAUUAAAGGCUUCGUCAAUAAAGAUCACACAAUUUCUGUUACCAACACAGAAACCCGAAGCAGAAGUAGUUCAUUAAGUAUAAUUAUAUCUUCUCUUGUAACAUAUUGACAAGGAAUGCUAUUGUGCAUUAAUGAAUCCUUAUAAUGUUAAAUGAAAUGCCAAUGAGUAAGAUAUAUUAAAUUGGACAAGCAAUAUGCAAGAAUAGGCAACAAAUUUAACCCAAAAUACAAACGACUUUUGAUCAUAUUAUCAAAUUUUGUUAUUGCCAGAUCAAAGGAAUUACAAUAGUGUUGCUUAAGCAGGGGAACUCAUUCAGACACAUCUCUUCAGAAGCCUCUAAAAUAGCAAACCACCUCCUUUUUCACAAGUGACACUAUAAUAUAAGCAAUUCUCAUGGCUACUUAACAAAAUGGCAAGUAUCUUUAAAUAGAAUAAAUGAAAAAAUAACUAGAAAAUUUUGAUUAAGCUAAGAUACACAAUUAAUCAAUUUUUCUCUUUUGGUUUAUAAAAAUUAUUUUAGACGUCUUUGUAGUAUUAUUAUUGUUGGAAAUUCUGCCUUAGUUGCGGUCCGCCCCUAGUCGCCUAAAUUGCGACCUUUGAUUAACCUUCAUUGCAACCUCCAACACCUUCAUUGUGUUGGCUUUGAGGGGGUGAAUUUAGUCUCAUAUUAGAUAGAUAUGACUCUUGAGAACAGUUUAUAAAGAGAAGACACUUCUCACCUUACAAGCCGGUUUUGUAAAAAUGAGUUAGGCCCCAAAUUUCAACAAUUAUUAUAUAUUACUCUCUCCGUUUUCAAUUAUAAGUAAAUUUGACUUUUUAGAUUCAUUCAAUUAAUAAUGUAUUUGGUUCAUAUUAUGGACCACAUCCAUCGUUAAUUGAAUGUACCUAAAAAGUUAAAUUUGUUUAUAAUUAACAACGGAGGGAGUAUAUAUUAGGCAACAACAAGCAACCAAUAGUUAUCGGGAUACAUGCCUAUAUCAACGUCAAUUUUAAACGGAUAGUCGCGGGUAUAGAUUUUGCUGCAAUUUCUAGGUACAAAGUGUGGCACUAUUCUGCGGCCUGAAAGAUGCCUAUAAAAGACAUGUCAAAUUAAAAUAAAGGGUUGGAUUUCCAAGGUUCCGAUCCUUUUAUAAUGACGGAUGGAGCUGGAAAUGAGUCGAGUCGAAUCAAACUUGUCUGAGCUCGACUCGAUUCAUUAAGAAUUGGCUCGGUUCGAGUUUGACACGAGUUUUUUUUUUCAACUCGAGUUCGGCUCGUUUAAAGUUCACGAACAAUUUGGUUCGGCUCAUUAUAUUCAAUUCGUUUGUUCAAAGCACAUAACUUUAGGUAUGAAAACGAGUAAAGCCACUUGAACCACAUAACUCAAAAGUCAAAGAAUUUAAAUUUUUUACCUAUAAAUAUAUUGGAAUUUAUACCAAUUUUUAAUGGACUGGAUGAGGCUAAUUUUCAGCUCAAUUAAUUGAUGAACUUAAUUUUCAACUCAAGUUCGGCUCAUUUGGUUCAUGAAUCAAGUUCGACGAAUCAAUUAUCGAAUCGAAUUACGAACUCUAAUCGAGUUGGUUCGGUUCAUUGCCAACCCUAACGACGAAUAAACUUUUUUUUUUUACUUUCACAUUUUUUUUUCUUUUAAAACAAGUUGUCAAACACAUUUGUUUCACUAGUUUAUAAUAAGGUAACAAACCAUACCACUAAAAAAGCAAUAGAAUAAUAAAUAAAAACACCUUAUUGUAAUAAUAAUAUAGUGUUAAAAAUCAUUUAUUUAGUUAGUACAAUCAUAUAAUUUCGAAAAUAAUAUGUAAAUAUAGUACAAUUACAUAUACUAAGUAUAGUAUAUUUUACUUGUCAAAAAAAAAGUAUACUAUAUUUUAGAUUUAUUAAAAAAAAAUGUAUAGUAUAUUUUAGAUUGUUACACAACAAAUAUUAUGGUGCAGGGGUAAGGCUUCCUCACAUCCAACCUCAUACAUGGUUUGAUUCUUAGCCUUUAGUUAUAAUUUGACAUUUGUAUUUUUAGGCAUGUUUUAUAUCCAACCACAAUCAUGAUUUAUUACAAGAAGCAAGAUUCACUAAAGCACAAAGUCUUAUGGGAUGGUGAUGCGGUUGGAUGUAGUUCUAAGCAUUUUGAGUUUUAUAUAAUGAAUGAUUUUUGUUUGAUAGAUGGAUAAAAUGACAAUAAUUAUUGAAAAUUCACACAUAUAAAUGAAGAAAUUGAGGUUCAAAUCGCACUUACGGCGUUUGGUUUAACAAUUUUCGACAUUUUUACCAAUUGAAUUAUGAGUUGUAGAUUAUAUAAUGAAUGGUUUAAUAGAGUAAUAAAAGAUAAGUAUGUGUGUGUCCCUCUCUAUAUAUAUUUGGAAGCAGAUAAGUAAAUAUUUUAAUCAUAAAUGUUUUAGAUUUUUUUUCUUUUUUGUGGCUCAGUUAAACUCGUUACCUUCCCCUAUUACACCAACCUCAUGUUUCUGAUCAAAACCACCCUAAUAAGUCCAAGUCUUCACCUUAAAGACAAAAGUGGAAGACUUUGAUGAGCCUGACUCUUCACUGUUACAAAUGGGAAUAUCAACUUUUGUGACAACUUUCUCUCUCAUACUUACAUUAUUUUUUACUUUAUAUCUCUAUUGUUUUGGUUUUCGUGCAAAUACCAACUUUUUCUUUGUAAAUUAUGGUUGUCCCAUAAUUAUCAACCAAAUAGUUGUUCAAAUAACACUCCUUUUAUAAAUAUCACCUGCAUCUCCCAUUAUAAUGCAUUCAUCAUAAUAAGUGUCGCGUUCAAAUCAAAUUAUACUUUAAUUGAUUGUGAUUGCCAAUACCUUAAUUGUGUUCAAAUUGCCAAUACCAAUGUCGUGUCUUCUUUUGUUCUUUUAUGUGUUUGUAAUGAUCAAAUCACCUCAUGCUGCAACAAAAAUCAAAGGCCGUGAGGCAGAGUCUCUGUUGAAGUGGAAAGAAAGCUUUGACAACCAAAGCAAAGCAUUACUCUCUUCAUGGAUUGGUAAUAAUCCUUGUAGUAGCUGGGAAGGAAUCACAUGUGAUGAUGAUUCAAAAUCCAUCAACAAGGUAAAUCUCACCAAUAUUGGACUAAAAGGUACACUUCAAAGUCUCAAUUUCUCAUCACUUCCAAAAAUCCGUACCUUAGUUUUAAGAAACAACUUCCUGUACGGCAUUGUUCCACACCAUAUUGGAGAGAUGUCUAGUCUAAAAACUCUUGAUUUGUCGAUUAACAAUCUUUUUGGAUCAAUACCACUAUCCAUAGGUAAUUUGAUUAAUUUGGAUACUAUUAACCUUUCAGAAAAUAAUAUCUCUGGACCACUUCCUUUCACUAUAGGAAAUUUGACAAAACUCAAUAUACUAUAUCUUUACUCAAAUGAUCUCACCGGACAAAUUCCACCUUUCAUAGAUAAUUUAAUUAAUUUGCAUACUCUUUACCUUUCAUACAAUAAUCUCUCUGAACCAAUUCCUUUCACUAUUGGAAACAUGACAAAACUCAUUAGAUUAUCUCUUUUCUCAAAUUCUUUCACUAAGAAUAUUCCAACAGAAAUUAAUAGGCUUACCGAUUUGAAAGCACUCGAUUUGUAUGAUAAUAAUUUUGUUGGUCAUUUACCUCAUAAUAUUUGUGUCGGUGGGAAGUUGGAAAAAUUCUCUGCUGCUCUUAACCAGUUCACAGGCCUAGUUCCAGAGAGUUUGAAGAAUUGCUCAAGCCUUAAGAGACUGAGGCUUGAACAAAACCAACUGACUGGAAAUAUAACAAAUAGUUUUGGUGUGUAUCCAAACUUGGACUACAUGGAAUUGAGUGAUAAUAAUUUGUAUGGUCAAAUUUCUCCAAAUUGGGGAAAGUGCAAGAAUCUCACAAGCCUUAAAAUCUCCAACAAUAAUUUGACAGGAAGCAUACCACCAGAACUAGGCAGAGCAACAAAUUUACAUGAACUUAACUUGUCUUCAAACCAUCUUACGGGGAAAAUUCCAAAGGAGCUAGAAAACUUAUCUUUGUUGAUCAAACUCUCGUUAAGUAACAAUCAUCUUUCUGGAGAAGUUCCUGAACAAAUUGAAUCAUUGCACGAAUUAACUGCAUUGGAGCUUGCAGCAAAUAAUUUCAGUGGCUUCAUCCCUGAAAAACUUGGUAUGUUGUCUAGGUUAUUGAAGUUAAAUUUGAGCCAAAAUAAGUUUGAGGGGAACAUUCCUGUUGAGUUUGGCCAAUUGAAUGUUAUUGAAAAUCUUGAUCUUAGUGGGAAUUCUAUGAAUGGAACCAUACCAGCAAUGCUUGGCCAGUUAAAUCACUUAGAAACAUUGAAUCUCUCACAUAACAAUCUCUCUGGUACCAUUCCCUCAAGCUUUGUUGAUAUGUUAAGCUUGACAACUGUUGAUGUAUCUUACAACCAGUUGGAGGGUCCGACUCCAAACAUUACAGCUUUCGGAAGAGCUCCAAUUGAAGCAUUGACAAAUAACAAGGGCUUGUGUGGUAAUAUCUCUGGCCUAGAGCCUUGCUCAAUAUCUGGUGGCAAGUUUCAUAAUCAUAAGACAAACAAAAUUUGGGUGCUAGUUCUAUCACUCACUCUAGGUCCUCUACUGUUAGCAUUAAUUGUUUAUGGGAUCUCAUACUUUUUUUGUCGAACUUCAAGCACAGAAGAAUACAAGCCUGCACAAGAAUUUCAAAUUGAAAAUCUAUUUGAAAUAUGGAGCUUUGAUGGCAAAAUGGUGUAUGAGAACAUAAUCGAAGCCACGGAAGAUUUUGACAACAAACAUCUCAUUGGGGUUGGAGGACAUGCAAGUGUUUACAAAGCAGAGUUGCCUUCAGGUCAAGUUGUAGCUGUGAAGAAACUUCAUUUAUUACAAAAUGAAGAAAUGUCUAAUAUGAAAGCUUUCACAAAUGAGAUUCAUGCUUUGACAGAAAUUCGACAUCGCAACAUUGUGAAGUUAUACGGGUUUUGUUUACAUCGACUACACUCAUUUUUGGUUUAUGAAUUCUUGGAGAAGGGUAGUGUGGACAUCAUUUUGAAGGACAAUGAACAAGCUGCUGAAUUUGAUUGGAAUAAGAGGGUGAAUAUUAUUAAAGAUAUAGCUAAUGCCUUAUGCUAUCUGCAUCAUGAUUGUUCCCCUCCUAUAGUUCAUCGAGAUAUAUCCAGCAAGAAUGUUAUUUUGGAUUUGGAAUAUGUAGCUCAUGUCUCAGAUUUUGGAACAUCUAAGUUUCUAAAUCCCAAUUCAUCCAAUAUGACUUCUUUUGCAGGCACCUUUGGAUAUGCUGCUCCAGGUCAGUCCCUUUUUUUUUUUUUUUUGUCUAUAUUAAUUAAUUAAGGUUAGAAUAUAGUUUAUCAUUAGUAGUUACAUGUAAAAUAGAAUUAUUUCACAAUUGUCUAAUCUACAUUUCAUGUUUUGUUUAUGAAAUUCUUUUGCAGACAAAGGCUAAAGCCAACCUCGAUACAAAUAAAAAACACAAUUCCCCGACUGCAUUUUCUGAAAAGAAUUGAAGGUUUUUCAAUAAAGAUCACACAAUUUCUGUUACCAACACAGAAACCCGAAGCAGAAGCUGAUAGAAUUAAUUUCGUUAAGAAUAAGAAAGGACAAAAGUUGAUAAUCGUAUCCAAACUUCAAAAUAAUUCACGAUUCAAGUCAUCAAUCAAAAUGACAACAGUGACUGGCUACACAAAGCUCAAGUGUUCAACCCCUAAAAAAUCAUAAUCUAUAAUAAUAAAUCGAGAUUCAUCAGAAUAAAGUAAGGUUCAUGUUACGGCUCAACAAUCGGACAGAAAGAAUUGAGAUCCAUGCUGUGAUUCAUAUCAAAUUAGAUACGCGCAAUUUGCAUAGGUUAGGUUCAUUUUUGUUUCAAACCGAGAUACGACUAGAAUGUAUUGUAAAAUAUUUAUAAACAAGGUUAUGAUGAUAGAUCAGAUAAUCUAGUACUAGUGCUGUCAAAAUGAAUUUUGGCUUGAUGUCUUCUCUCAUUCUAUAUUCCUUUAUAAAUAGUACAGACUCAGUAGCUACAAUUAGUAACUUCCUAAAUUAUACAAAAUAUAUAGGAAACUAAUGAUGACAGAUCCCCUUAUUGACAAGUACAAGUUGUAGAACAAGAUAAGAGGUGAAUAUAUAUAACUACUACAGUGUGGGUUACAUCUUUGAGUUCAAAAAAAGGGACCAUUAACAGAAUGCAAAUUCUUUUGUUGAUGACAAUAUAAAAUAUAAAUAAAUAAUCAAAAUCCAACCAAAUGUUCUCAAUCCAAUCAUAAUGUAGCUGUAAAUAUGUGAUGUGUAGUAAAAAGAAGAUAAUUACCUCUCCCAUAGCAAAAAUAUUGUAUACUAAAUCAAAUGAUCUGAUCCAUUUUCACCAAUACCCUUUGCACGAGCAAGAUCCAUUUUUGAAAUGAUGGAAGCGCCUUGAGUCUCUGAGUAUGACCUCAUGUUCAACAAUCAUGGAUAUGUAGGAUAUGGCACUAUGGCAAUCACCACAGAUGCGUAAAUUCUUAGUGAUUCGAAUAGGUGCACCUGGGGGUAGUGUUAGGAUGCAUAGGCAAGAGCCAACUUCUCACUGUGUUCUAAAAGCUGGUCACCCUUUUCUUCAUCAUCCACAUCAUGAAGAGCAAAGUUUGUCUGUGGAACAUACCCAAUGGCCUUAAUGCGCUGAAUCAAAUCUGCCAGUGUUUCAUAUAUCUUCUGAGAUUGUGAGUGAGUUCUGUCUCCCACAUAAAAGGUUUCCAUACCUUUCCUUCCUUGGACCCAGCUCCAACCAGGUCUUUUCUUGAUUCCAGUACGUUUCAUCAAAUAUCUAAUUCUCGCCACAUCUUUCCAGCGUCUGGCAUUAGCAUAUAUAUUUGAAAGCAAUGUAUAUGUCCCAUCAUUGUCGGCCUUCAAUUCUAACAGUUUUUUCGCCGCGAAUUCUGCAAGUUCUACAUUUGAGUGUGUCCUACAAGCACUAAGCAAGGCAAUCCACACUACUGGUGUUGGUUCCAUCGACAUAUCAUUAAUGAGUCUCGUAGCUUCACAUAGACGACCGGCUCGACCGAAAAGAUCAGCCAUACAAGCAUAAUGCUCUACUCCAGGAUCAACUACAAAAUCCUUGCUCAUUCUAUAAAACAAAUCGAUUCCACGAUCCACCAUUCCCGAAUGACUACAAGCAUAAAGCACAACAAGAAAGGUUAUGCCAUCAAGCACUAGAGCCUCUUUCCUCAUCUCAUCAAAAACACGGAAAGCAUCUUCGCUGCACCCAUGCAUGCCAUACCCGGUGAGUAGCGAGGUCCAAGAGAUGGCAUUUCUCUUUGACAUGCUGUCGAAAACUACUUGGGCAGUAUCUACAUCUCCGGAUUUGGAAUACAUGUCUAUGAGACAAUUAGCCACAAACAGAACAUCUGAAUCAAUACGACUUCUACGCAACACAUAAGCAUGAAUCUGCUUACCAAACCUCAAUGCUGCCAAACGAGCACAAGCCAUGAGUACACAAGAUAUGGUAAAAUCAUUAGGAACUAUACAGUUAUCAAAUUUAAACAUUUCAGAGAAAAGUUGCAGGGCGUGAUUUGCAUCUCCAUACUGAGCAUAACCUCCAAUCAUCACAGUCCAAGUCACCACAUCCCUAUCUUUGGGACAUAUUUCAUCAAACAUCGCACGAGCCACUUCUAAACUCUUGCAUUUAGCAUACAUAUCAAUUAGAGCAUUAAUCCCCGCCAAAUCAUCAUUAUCAUCAUUAUGCUCCCCCUUGAGAAUAAAUUUAAUUGAAUAACAAUGAGUUUCUUUUCCAUGAAGCAAAGCUCCAACAGACGCACAACCAGAAAGCAACGACAUGAGCGUAACCACAUUAGGACGACAACUACAUCCACACAUUUGCCGAAACACAUCCAUUGCUUCACAACCAAACCCUCUCUGAGCAUACCCAGAAAUAACAGAACUCCAAGUAACAACAUCCAACUCAAUUCUCUCUUCCCUCAUUUUCCCAAACAAAGAAAGUGCAUCCUCAAAUCUACCAUUUUGAGAAUACCCGGUAACCAUAGCAUUCCAAGUAACAACAUCCUUAAACCGCAUCCUCUCAUAAACCUUACUAGCGUCUUCCAUUUUCCCACAUUUUGCAUACAUAUCAACCAAAGCAUUCCCAACAAAAAAUCCUCAACCAAACCAGUUAUAACACAUAAACCAUGAACUUGUUUCCCACAUAACCCCAAACCAAGAAAACCACUAACAGGAAGUAUAUUAACAACACCAACAGUAUCCGGCAAAAUCCCAUACCCAACCGUCAUUUCCCUAAAAAGAAAAACAGCAUCAUUUGGAACAAAACAAUGCGAAUAAACAGAAACAAUCGAAUUCUACGACACCGAAAUAAGAGGAGACCAUGUAUAAUGUAUUGUUGAUGAAGUAGUUUUGCUUGGAUUAUAGAUUUGCAUUGCUGUUUUGAAAUUUACGAAGAAGAAUGAUAUAAGAGGAGAUUAUGUGUAUUGAUAAGUAGUGGUGGUUUUGAGUUGAACGGAGGGAAACGUGAGAGCAUGCUAGCUUUUUCAUAAAAAGCCAGAUCAUAAAGUUUUUUCAAUGCUGUUGUUACUUGAAUUCAUUUAUCACUUUUUUCAUUAUGGACAAAACUAAGUACAAGCCUUGCAAGUAAGCUGCUACUAUUGAAGACUUGUGAAGCAAGCUUCCCAUUCUCUCCUUCAACUUUCUGUACAACCAUUCAAUGCAUUGGUUGAUGUGUAUACAGUUGAAAAGCACUAAUGUUGUAACCAAAACUCCAAAUGUUUCAAUUAUCACCGAAUUUCUUUAAAAGGUAAUUUGCAAUCCUUCAUUUGCAGAUUCUUGAAGUUUCUAUUUGCUAGCAUGUACUACAUGGCGUAUUUAAUGAAAUAGACAAAUAGUUAAAUUUGGUGCUACAAACUUGUUCAAAAUGAAUGAGUGAUCAACACAUUGUCGAUUCAUUUUGUAGGUGUGAUGUUUUUAGUUAUGGGGUCAUCUUAUGGGAGCUCUUUACCAAGCAGGAACCCUGGAAAGAAGUGUAUCUAUAUCGAGUUAUUUAUCAUGUUGGUGAGGAGGAUGGCCGUCUGGACAUUCCAGACAUUAUGGCCCCUGAUAUUACUAAUAUUAUUAGACAAUGUUUGAAGAAUCAAGUGUAAUCUUUUAGGUGCAGAGCAUUUUAAUAUUUAUAUGGUGUAUGUAAUGCACUUAUCGUGUCCUACAUUAAAAUGUUUUGCCACUAAAAGUAAAUGCAAUUACUCAAAAUAGAAUGUGAAAUAAUGAGAGUUCCAUAAAUAUAUUGUUAGCAAUCUGCAGUUAAUAGCAUCUGGAAGUAAGUUGCAAGGAAAAUAAAGUUCAAUCCACCUACUAUUUAAUUUUCUUUUAUUUGUUUCAUUAUCAUACUUGUAAAUUUAAUUUUCUUAAUCUUUAUUAUUCACUGUAUCAGGAUUUAUGGGCAAAAAGAAGAAGAUAAGAACCUUCUCAAGGAUUUCAAGCAUUCGAGACCUGGAAUAUCUAUCAGUUUCUCGCAAUUAGUAAGUUUCAACUCCUCCAAACUCUCUACAUUGGACAGCAUCCUCUCUAGUGUACUGCCAUAUUAAUCAGUCAGACCAAAUUCUACCACAUUUUCCAACAUAUUUUCAUGAGUGUAAUUGGAACUUCAUCUCUAAACAUAUAGUAUACAAAAGUAACGGUAAAAAAUUACAAUCAAAGAAGCCAAUGACUUUUUGCUGAUCAUUAAAUCAUACUGGUUUUUGACUGGAUCUCAAAGAAGCCUUUUAUUGACAUAUCAAAGUAUUCACAAAAUGGGUUGUUAAGGUAAGGAACAUUGCCAUUGUUUUGUUGAUGAAGUGGUUAACGGAUACACCCAACAUAAUAAUUGAAAAAGACCUAGUACCCGGACAGGAAAGCCGUAAAAGAUUACAAUAUGAUGCAUGAAACCAAUACGAAACAUAAUGUUAACUAAAUGGAAAAUCUACAUUAUAAGCUUGGAAACAAUGCAACAACCCGUGAACAACAGCAGAAAAAUGUAGCACAAAAAUCUAGAUUUAAUUCAUACUCUAAGAGAAGUAAAAAAUAUAGUACAAAUUGUUUGUGAAGUUUACUUUGAAAAAUGUUAAAUAAAAAAUGGAAUGUACUUCAGCUAAAUGAUAUGGCAACUAUGAGGUACGUGAAUCUCCUCAAGUAGAUAAGUUAGUCCUUGAACUGCACCAAUCAUAAGAAUUGCAGUCUUCCAAUUCCAGAAUUGCUGCAGAUAAGUGCAGUAGACUGUGAAUGGUAAGAAACAUAUAUUGGUGAAAUCACUGUCAAUGGAGAGAUAAGAUAAGUCUUUCAAUGAAUUAGAUUUUUUUUUUUCUUUUUUUGUGGCCCCUAUUACUCCAACCUCAUGUUUCUGAUCAAAACCACAAUAAUAAGUCUAAGUCUUCACCUUAAAGACAAAAGUGAAAGACUUUAAUGAGCUAAGUCUUCACUAUUACAAGUGGGAAUAUCAAUUACAAUGCAUUAUAAAUAUCACCUAAAUCUCCCAUUGUAAUGCAUUCAUCAUGAUACAAGUGUCUAGUUCAAUUAUAUAUAUCUCAGUGAUUGCCAAUAAUUUCAUUGUGUUGAAAUUUCCAAAAUACUUCAAAGAAUGAAGCUCUUACCAAUGUCAUGUCUUAUUUUGUUCUUCUAAGUGUUUGUAAUUGCAACAUCACCUCAUGCUGCAACAAAAAUCCAAGGUAGCGAGGCUGAUGCUCUAUUGAAGUGGAAAACAAGCCUUGACAACCAUAGCAGGGCAUUUCUCUCUUCAUGGAUUGGUAAUAAUCCUUGUGGUUGGGAAGGAAUCACGUGUGAUUAUGAAUCGAAGUCCAUCAACAAGGUAAAUCUCACCAAUAUUGGAUUAAACGGUACUCUUCAAAGUCUCAAUUUCUCAUCACUUCCGAAAAUACACACCUUAGUUUUAACAAACAACUCCUUGUAUGGAGUUAUUCCACACCAUAUUGGAGAGAUGUCUAGUCUGAAAACUCUUAAUUUGUCGAUUAACAAUCUCUUUGGGUCAAUCCCACCAUCCAUAGGUAAUUUGAUUAAUUUGGAUAGUAUUGACCUUUCACAAAAUAAUCUCUCUGGACCAAUUCCUUUCACUAUCGGAAAUUUAACCAAACUAAGUGAAUUGUAUUUUUAUUCAAAUGCUCUCUCCGGAGAAAUUCCACCUUCCAUAGGUAACUUGAUCAAUUUGGAUCUUAUUCACCUAUCAAGAAAUCAUCUCUCUGGACCAAUUCCUUCCACCAUCGGAAAUUUAACAAAACUCGGUACAUUAUCUCUUUUCUCAAAUGCUCUUGCUGGACAAAUUCCACCUUCCAUAGGAAAUUUGAUAAAUUUGGAUACUAUUUACCUUUCAAAAAAUCAUCUCUCUGGACCAAUUCUUUCCAUCAUCGGAAAUUUAACAAAAUUGAGUAAAUUAACUCUUGGCGUAAAUGCUCUCACCGGACAAAUUCCACCUUCCAUAGGUAAUUUGAUUAAUUUGGAUUACAUUUCCCUUUCACAAAAUAAUCUCUCUGGACCAAUUCCAUCCACUAUCGGAAAUUUGACAAAACUUAGCGAAUUACAUCUUUCAUUUAAUUCUCUCACUGAGAAUAUUCCAACAGAAAUGAAUAGGCUUACCGAUUUGGAAGCACUCCAUUUAGAUGUUAAUAAUUUUGUUGGUCAUUUACCUCACAAUAUUUGUGUCGGUGGGAAGAUAAAAAAAUUCACUGCUGGACUUAACCAGUUCACUGGCUUAGUUCCAGAGAGUUUGAAGAAUUGCUUAAGCCUUAAAAGAGUGAGGCUUGAUCAAAACCAACUGACUGGAAAUAUAACAAAUAGUUUUGGUGUGUAUCCAAACUUGUACUACAUGGACUUGAAUGAUAAUAAUUUUUAUGGUCAUCUUUCUCCAAAUUGGGGAAAGUGCAAGAAUCUCACAAGCCUUAAAAUCUCUGGUAAUAAUUUAACAGGAAGAAUACCACCAGAGCUAGGCAGCGCAACAAAUUUACAGGAGCUUAACUUGUCUUCAAACCAUCUAACGGGAAAAAUUCCAAAGGAGCUAGAAAACUUAUCUUUGUUGAUCAAACUCUCGUUAAGUAACAAUCACCUUUCUGGAGAAGUUCCUGUACAAAUUGCAUCAUUGCACGAGCUAACUGCAUUGGAGCUUGCAACAAAUAAUUUGAGUGGCUUCAUCCCUAAAAGACUUGGUAGGUUAUCUAGGUUAUUGCAGUUAAAUUUGAGCCAAAAUAAGUUUGAGGGGAACAUUCCUGCUGAGUUUGCCCAAUUGAAUGUUAUUGAAAAUCUUGAUCUUAGUGGGAAUUUUAUGAAUGGAACCAUACCAUCAAUGCUUGGGCAGUUAAAUCGCUUAGAAACAUUGAAUCUCUCACAUAACAAUCUCUCUGGUACCAUUCCCUCAAGCUUUGUUGAUAUGUUAAGCUUGACAACUGUUGAUAUAUCUUANUUUUUUUUUUUUUUUGUCUAUAUUAAUUAAUUAAGGUUAGAAUAUAGUUUAUCAUUAGUAGUUACAUGUAAAAUAGAAUUAUUUCACAAUUGUCUAAUCUACAUUUCAUGUUUUGUUUAUGAAAUUCUUUUGCAGACAAAGGCUAAAGCCAACCUCGAUACAAAUAAAAAACACAAUUCCCCGACUGCAUUUUCUGAAAAGAAUUGAAGGUUUUUCAAUAAAGAUCACACAAUUUCUGUUACCAACACAGAAACCCGAAGCAGAAGCUGAUAGAAUUAAUUUCGUUAAGAAUAAGAAAGGACAAAAGUUGAUAAUCGUAUCCAAACUUCAAAAUAAUUCACGAUUCAAGUCAUCAAUCAAAAUGACAACAGUGACUGGCUACACAAAGCUCAAGUGUUCAACCCCUAAAAAAUCAUAAUCUAUAAUAAUAAAUCGAGAUUCAUCAGAAUAAAGUAAGGUUCAUGUUACGGCUCAACAAUCGGACAGAAAGAAUUGAGAUCCAUGCUGUGAUUCAUAUCAAAUUAGAUACGCGCAAUUUGCAUAGGUUAGGUUCAUUUUUGUUUCAAACCGAGAUACGACUAGAAUGUAUUGUAAAAUAUUUAUAAACAAGGUUAUGAUGAUAGAUCAGAUAAUCUAGUACUAGUGCUGUCAAAAUGAAUUUUGGCUUGAUGUCUUCUCUCAUUCUAUAUUCCUUUAUAAAUAGUACAGACUCAGUAGCUACAAUUAGUAACUUCCUAAAUUAUACAAAAUAUAUAGGAAACUAAUGAUGACAGAUCCCCUUAUUGACAAGUACAAGUUGUAGAACAAGAUAAGAGGUGAAUAUAUAUAACUACUACAGUGUGGGUUACAUCUUUGAGUUCAAAAAAAGGGACCAUUAACAGAAUGCAAAUUCUUUUGUUGAUGACAAUAUAAAAUAUAAAUAAAUAAUCAAAAUCCAACCAAAUGUUCUCAAUCCAAUCAUAAUGUAGCUGUAAAUAUGUGAUGUGUAGUAAAAAGAAGAUAAUUACCUCUCCCAUAGCAAAAAUAUUGUAUACUAAAUCAAAUGAUCUGAUCCAUUUUCACCAAUACCCUUUGCACGAGCAAGAUCCAUUUUUGAAAUGAUGGAAGCGCCUUGAGUCUCUGAGUAUGACCUCAUGUUCAACAAUCAUGGAUAUGUAGGAUAUGGCACUAUGGCAAUCACCACAGAUGCGUAAAUUCUUAGUGAUUCGAAUAGGUGCACCUGGGGGUAGUGUUAGGAUGCAUAGGCAAGAGCCAACUUCUCACUGUGUUCUAAAAGCUGGUCACCCUUUUCUUCAUCAUCCACAUCAUGAAGAGCAAAGUUUGUCUGUGGAACAUACCCAAUGGCCUUAAUGCGCUGAAUCAAAUCUGCCAGUGUUUCAUAUAUCUUCUGAGAUUGUGAGUGAGUUCUGUCUCCCACAUAAAAGGUUUCCAUACCUUUCCUUCCUUGGACCCAGCUCCAACCAGGUCUUUUCUUGAUUCCAGUACGUUUCAUCAAAUAUCUAAUUCUCGCCACAUCUUUCCAGCGUCUGGCAUUAGCAUAUAUAUUUGAAAGCAAUGUAUAUGUCCCAUCAUUGUCGGCCUUCAAUUCUAACAGUUUUUUCGCCGCGAAUUCUGCAAGUUCUACAUUUGAGUGUGUCCUACAAGCACUAAGCAAGGCAAUCCACACUACUGGUGUUGGUUCCAUCGACAUAUCAUUAAUGAGUCUCGUAGCUUCACAUAGACGACCGGCUCGACCGAAAAGAUCAGCCAUACAAGCAUAAUGCUCUACUCCAGGAUCAACUACAAAAUCCUUGCUCAUUCUAUAAAACAAAUCGAUUCCACGAUCCACCAUUCCCGAAUGACUACAAGCAUAAAGCACAACAAGAAAGGUUAUGCCAUCAAGCACUAGAGCCUCUUUCCUCAUCUCAUCAAAAACACGGAAAGCAUCUUCGCUGCACCCAUGCAUGCCAUACCCGGUGAGUAGCGAGGUCCAAGAGAUGGCAUUUCUCUUUGACAUGCUGUCGAAAACUACUUGGGCAGUAUCUACAUCUCCGGAUUUGGAAUACAUGUCUAUGAGACAAUUAGCCACAAACAGAACAUCUGAAUCAAUACGACUUCUACGCAACACAUAAGCAUGAAUCUGCUUACCAAACCUCAAUGCUGCCAAACGAGCACAAGCCAUGAGUACACAAGAUAUGGUAAAAUCAUUAGGAACUAUACAGUUAUCAAAUUUAAACAUUUCAGAGAAAAGUUGCAGGGCGUGAUUUGCAUCUCCAUACUGAGCAUAACCUCCAAUCAUCACAGUCCAAGUCACCACAUCCCUAUCUUUGGGACAUAUUUCAUCAAACAUCGCACGAGCCACUUCUAAACUCUUGCAUUUAGCAUACAUAUCAAUUAGAGCAUUAAUCCCCGCCAAAUCAUCAUUAUCAUCAUUAUGCUCCCCCUUGAGAAUAAAUUUAAUUGAAUAACAAUGAGUUUCUUUUCCAUGAAGCAAAGCUCCAACAGACGCACAACCAGAAAGCAACGACAUGAGCGUAACCACAUUAGGACGACAACUACAUCCACACAUUUGCCGAAACACAUCCAUUGCUUCACAACCAAACCCUCUCUGAGCAUACCCAGAAAUAACAGAACUCCAAGUAACAACAUCCAACUCAAUUCUCUCUUCCCUCAUUUUCCCAAACAAAGAAAGUGCAUCCUCAAAUCUACCAUUUUGAGAAUACCCGGUAACCAUAGCAUUCCAAGUAACAACAUCCUUAAACCGCAUCCUCUCAUAAACCUUACUAGCGUCUUCCAUUUUCCCACAUUUUGCAUACAUAUCAACCAAAGCAUUCCCAACAAAAAAUCCUCAACCAAACCAGUUAUAACACAUAAACCAUGAACUUGUUUCCCACAUAACCCCAAACCAAGAAAACCACUAACAGGAAGUAUAUUAACAACACCAACAGUAUCCGGCAAAAUCCCAUACCCAACCGUCAUUUCCCUAAAAAGAAAAACAGCAUCAUUUGGAACAAAACAAUGCGAAUAAACAGAAACAAUCGAAUUCUACGACACCGAAAUAAGAGGAGACCAUGUAUAAUGUAUUGUUGAUGAAGUAGUUUUGCUUGGAUUAUAGAUUUGCAUUGCUGUUUUGAAAUUUACGAAGAAGAAUGAUAUAAGAGGAGAUUAUGUGUAUUGAUAAGUAGUGGUGGUUUUGAGUUGAACGGAGGGAAACGUGAGAGCAUGCUAGCUUUUUCAUAAAAAGCCAGAUCAUAAAGUUUUUUCAAUGCUGUUGUUACUUGAAUUCAUUUAUCACUUUUUUCAUUAUGGACAAAACUAAGUACAAGCCUUGCAAGUAAGCUGCUACUAUUGAAGACUUGUGAAGCAAGCUUCCCAUUCUCUCCUUCAACUUUCUGUACAACCAUUCAAUGCAUUGGUUGAUGUGUAUACAGUUGAAAAGCACUAAUGUUGUAACCAAAACUCCAAAUGUUUCAAUUAUCACCGAAUUUCUUUAAAAGGUAAUUUGCAAUCCUUCAUUUGCAGAUUCUUGAAGUUUCUAUUUGCUAGCAUGUACUACAUGGCGUAUUUAAUGAAAUAGACAAAUAGUUAAAUUUGGUGCUACAAACUUGUUCAAAAUGAAUGAGUGAUCAACACAUUGUCGAUUCAUUUUGUAGGUGUGAUGUUUUUAGUUAUGGGGUCAUCUUAUGGGAGCUCUUUACCAAGCAGGAACCCUGGAAAGAAGUGUAUCUAUAUCGAGUUAUUUAUCAUGUUGGUGAGGAGGAUGGCCGUCUGGACAUUCCAGACAUUAUGGCCCCUGAUAUUACUAAUAUUAUUAGACAAUGUUUGAAGAAGCAAGUGUAAUCUUUUAGGUGCAGAGCAUUUUAAUAUUUAUAUGGUGUAUGUAAUGCAAUUAUCAUGUCCUACAUUAAAAUGUUUUGCCACUAAAAGUAAACGCAAUUACUCAAAAUAGAAUGUGAAAUAACGAGCGUUCCGUAAAUAUAUUGUUAGCAAUCUGCAGUCUCUAUAAUGAAUAGGAACUGGAAGUAAGUUGCAAGGAAAAUAAAGUUCAAUCCACCUACUAUUUAAUUUUCUUUUAUUUGUUUCAUUAUCAUACUUGUACAUUUAAUUUUCUUAAUCUUUAUUAUUCACUGUAUCAGGAUUUAUGGGCAAAAAGAAGAUAAGAACCUUUGAAAGUCUUUUGCAUACUUUGGAGGAGCAUGCAUUGCAACCACUCAGGUACAUUUUCUCAAGGAUUUCAAGCAUUCGAGACCUAGAAUAUCUAUCAGUUUCUCGCAAUUUGUGAAUUUCAACUCCUCCAAACUCUCUACAUUGGACAGCAUCCUCUCUAGUGUACUGCCUAUAUUAAUCAGUCAGACCAAAUUCUACCUCAUUUUCCAACAUAUUUUCAUGAGUGUAAUUAGAACUUCGUCUCUAAACAUAUACUAUACAAAAGUAUUCACAAAAUGGGUUAUUAAGUUAAGGAACACUGUUUUGUUGGUGCAGUGGUUAGUGGAAAUACCCAACAUAAUAAUUGAAAGAGACCUUACACCCGUAACAGAAAAUCCGUAAAAGAUUACAACUUGAUGCAUGAAACGAAUACCAAACAUAAUGUUAACUAAAUGGAAAAUCUACAUUAUAAGGUUGGACACAAUGCAACAAGUCGGCAACAACCCGUGAACAACAGCAGAAAAAUGUAGUACAAAAAUCUAUAUUUAAUUCAUACUCUAAGAGAAAUAAAAAAUGCAGUACAAAUUGUCUGUGAAGUUUACCUUGAAAAAUGUUAAAUAAAAAAUGCAGUACAAAUUGUCUGUGAGGUUUAAAUUGCACUUACCGUGUUCGGCCUAGCAAUUUCGACAUUUUUUCCAAUUGAAUUAUGAGUUGUGGAUUAUAUAAUGAAUGGUUUUAAUAGAGUAAUGAAAGAUAAGAUAAGUCUUUCAAUGAAUUAGUUUUUUUUUUAUCUUUUUUUGUGGCCGCUAUUACUCCAACCUCAUGUUUCUGAUCAAAACCACAAUAAGUCUAAGUCUUCACCUUAAAGACAAAAGUCUUCACUAUUACAAGUGGGAAUAUCAAUUACAAUGCAUUAUAAAUAUCACCUAAAUCUCCCAUCAUAAUACAAGUGUCUAGUUCAAUUAUAUAUAUCUCAGUGCUUGCCAAUAAUUUCAUUCUGUUGAAAUUUCCAAAAUACUUCAAAGAAUGAAGCUCUUACCAAUGCCAUGUCUUAUUUUGUUCUUCUAUGUGUUUGUAAUUGCAACAUCACCUCAUGCUGCAACAAAAAUCCAAGGUAGCGAGGCUGAUGCUCUAUUGAAGUGGAAAUCAAGCCUUGACAACCAUAGCAGGGCAUUUCUCUCUUCAUGGAUUGGUAAUAAUCCUUGUGGUUGGGAAGGAAUCACGUGUGAUUAUGAAUCGAAGUCCAUCAACAAGGUAAAUCUCACCAAUAUUGGACUAAAAGGUACACUUCAGAGUCUCAACUUCUCAUCACUUCCAAAAAUCCACACUUUAGUUUUAACAAACAACUUCUUGUACGGAGUUGUUCCACACCAAAUUGGAGAGAUGUCUAGUCUCAAAACUCUUAAUUUGUCGAUUAACAAUCUCUUUGGGUCAAUCCCACCAUCCAUAGGUAAUUUGAUUAAUUUAGAUACUAUUGACCUUUCACAAAAUACUCUCUCUGGACCAAUUCCUUUCACUAUCGGAAAUUUAACGAAGCUAAGUGAAUUGUAUUUUUAUUCAAAUGCUCUCACUGGACAAAUUCCACCUUCCAUAGGUAACUUGAUCAAUUUGGAUAUUAUUGACCUUUCAAGAAAUCAUCUCUCUGGACCAAUUCCACCUUCCAUAGGUAAUUUGAUUAAUUUGGAUUACUUUUCCCUUUCACAAAAUAAUCUCUCUGGACCAAUUCCUUCCACUAUUGGAAAUUUGACAAAACUCAGUACAUUAUCUCUUUAUUUAAAUGCUCUCACUGGACAAAUUCCACCUUCCAUAGGUAACUUGAUCAAUUUGGAUANUAUUGACCUUUCACAAAAUAAUCUCUCUGGACCAAUUCCUUUCACUAUCGGAAAUUUAACCAAACUAAGUGAAUUGUAUUUUUAUUCAAAUGCUCUCUCCGGAGAAAUUCCACCUUCCAUAGGUAACUUGAUCAAUUUGGAUCUUAUUCACCUAUCAAGAAAUCAUCUCUCUGGACCAAUUCCUUCCACCAUCGGAAAUUUAACAAAACUCGGUACAUUAUCUCUUUUCUCAAAUGCUCUUGCUGGACAAAUUCCACCUUCCAUAGGAAAUUUGAUAAAUUUGGAUACUAUUUACCUUUCAAAAAAUCAUCUCUCUGGACCAAUUCUUUCCAUCAUCGGAAAUUUAACAAAAUUGAGUAAAUUAACUCUUGGCGUAAAUGCUCUCACCGGACAAAUUCCACCUUCCAUAGGUAAUUUGAUUAAUUUGGAUUACAUUUCCCUUUCACAAAAUAAUCUCUCUGGACCAAUUCCAUCCACUAUCGGAAAUUUGACAAAACUUAGCGAAUUACAUCUUUCAUUUAAUUCUCUCACUGAGAAUAUUCCAACAGAAAUGAAUAGGCUUACCGAUUUGGAAGCACUCCAUUUAGAUGUUAAUAAUUUUGUUGGUCAUUUACCUCACAAUAUUUGUGUCGGUGGGAAGAUAAAAAAAUUCACUGCUGGACUUAACCAGUUCACUGGCUUAGUUCCAGAGAGUUUGAAGAAUUGCUUAAGCCUUAAAAGAGUGAGGCUUGAUCAAAACCAACUGACUGGAAAUAUAACAAAUAGUUUUGGUGUGUAUCCAAACUUGUACUACAUGGACUUGAAUGAUAAUAAUUUUUAUGGUCAUCUUUCUCCAAAUUGGGGAAAGUGCAAGAAUCUCACAAGCCUUAAAAUCUCUGGUAAUAAUUUAACAGGAAGAAUACCACCAGAGCUAGGCAGCGCAACAAAUUUACAGGAGCUUAACUUGUCUUCAAACCAUCUAACGGGAAAAAUUCCAAAGGAGCUAGAAAACUUAUCUUUGUUGAUCAAACUCUCGUUAAGUAACAAUCACCUUUCUGGAGAAGUUCCUGUACAAAUUGCAUCAUUGCACGAGCUAACUGCAUUGGAGCUUGCAACAAAUAAUUUGAGUGGCUUCAUCCCUAAAAGACUUGGUAGGUUAUCUAGGUUAUUGCAGUUAAAUUUGAGCCAAAAUAAGUUUGAGGGGAACAUUCCUGCUGAGUUUGCCCAAUUGAAUGUUAUUGAAAAUCUUGAUCUUAGUGGGAAUUUUAUGAAUGGAACCAUACCAUCAAUGCUUGGGCAGUUAAAUCGCUUAGAAACAUUGAAUCUCUCACAUAACAAUCUCUCUGGUACCAUUCCCUCAAGCUUUGUUGAUAUGUUAAGCUUGACAACUGUUGAUAUAUCUUACAACCAGUUGGAGGGUCCAAUUCCAAACAUUACAGCUUUCAAAAAAGCUCCAAUUGAAGCAUUGACAAAUAACAAAGGCUUAUGUGGUAAUGUCUCUGGCCUAGAGCCUUGCUCAACAUCUGGUGGCAAAUUUCAUAAUCAUAAGACUAACAAAAUUUUGGUGCUAGUUCUAUCCCUCACUCUAGGCCCUCUACUGUUAGCAUUAAUUGUGAUCUCAUACCUUUUGUGUCGAAUUUCAAGCGCAAAAGAAUACAAGCCUGCACAAGAAUUUCAAAUUGAAAAUCUGUUUGAAAUAUGGAGCUUUGAUGGCAAAAUGGUGUACGAGAACAUAAUCGAAGCCACUGAAGAUUUUGACGACAAGCAUCUCCUUGGGGUUGGAGGACAUGGAAGUGUUUACAAAGCAGAGUUGCCCACAGGUCAAGUUGUAGCUGUGAAGAAACUUCAUUCAUUACAAAAUGAAGAAAUGCCUAAUCUGAAAGCUUUCACAAAUGAGAUCCAUGCUUUGACAGAAAUUCGACAUCGCAACAUUGUGAAGUUAUACGGGUUUUGUUCACAUCGACUACACUCAUUUUUGGUUUAUGAAUUCUUGGAGAAGGGUAGCAUGGACAUCAUUUUGAAGGACAAUGAACAAGCUCCUGAAUUUGAUUGGAAUAGGAGGGUGGAUGUUAUUAAAGAUAUAGCUAAUGCUUUAUGCUAUAUGCAUCAUGAUUGUUCACCUUCAAUUGUUCAUCGCGAUAUAUCCAGCAAGAAUGUCAUUUUGGAUUUGGAAUAUGUAGCUCAUGUCUCAGACUUUGGAACAUCUAAGUUUCUCAAUCCCAAUUCAUCCAAUAUGACUUCUUUUGCAGGCACUUUUGGAUAUACUGCUCCAGGUGAAUUCUUUUUUUCAUUAAUUAAGGUUAAAAUAUUUUGUAGUUUAUCUUUAGUACUUUACAUGUAAAAUCUAAUUAUUUCACAAAUCUACAUUUAAUGUUUUGUUUUUCAAAUCCUAUUUUUCACAUAAAUAUUUGUAAAUUUCUACAGAACUUGCAUACACAAUGGAAGUAAAUGAGAAAUGUGAUGUGUUUAGUUUUGGGAUAUUAACCUUGGAAAUACUUUUUGGAAAGCACCCUGGAGAUAUUGUAACUUAUUUGUGGCAACAACCUUCACAAAGUGUUAUGGACAUGAGACCUGAUACUAUGCAAUUGAUAGAUAAGUUGGACCAGCGUGUCCCUCAUCCCACAAAUACCAUUGUUCAAGAAGUGGCAUCGAUGAUAAGGAUUGCAGUUGCUUGCUUAACUGAAAGCCCGCGUUCUCGCCCUACCAUGGAGCAGGUCUGCAGACAGUUUGUAAUGUCAUAAUCAUCUUCAGAUACAUAUUGUCUCAUAUAUAUGGUGGAUUCAAUAUAAACGAUUGAACUUUUGUAUGAUCGUCAUUAUCUUUUUGAUACUAUAAUUCAUAUAAUAUUUAGACAAAAUUAUUGAGUUUUACUUAAUCAGGCCUUUUAUUCCAUAAAUAUCAAUAAUUUUAAAGCAAAAUUAAAAUGUUCAAAAUCACUACACACACUGUAAAGAAUGACAUCCUCCCCGCAAGGUCUAGUUUUUGUUUAUACGCAAAUCCAUAAAUUAAUUUUGACCACAUGGUAGACUCAUAUCAAUGAUGUGCACACAAUAUUAUAUAGACAUCAAAAUAUUUAUAAGGAAUAAUUGCUUUAGUUUUCCUAAUUUAGGAGUCAUAAAAUGUUGAGAGACUUGUACAUUUACUCCAAAUGGUGGAGAAAUUAGUUCAAUGUUGGCGAUAAAUAUUGAAUUAUUAACUCUAUGAGUUUAGUGUAGUGUUAAAAAGAUAAACUUUUGAACUCCAAAGGCUUGGUCUAGUGGUAAAAAGACAGGUCUUGAAUCCGAAAGAACCCAGGUUCGAGCCCUACUAGUGCCUUUGGAGGGAGGUUGAAUUCAAAUGUUUUAAGUUUAUGUUCAGAUAGUAUCCUUAAUGAGAUAAAUCUAAAUCUCUUUAUAAAUGAUGACUGAGUCAAGCUAAAAUUUAGUUAGUAUCUUUGGAAGGAGGUAAAUGUAAAUUCUUUUGAAAAUGACCAUUGAACCCUAUAAGAGUGUGUUUGGAUGGAGGAAUGUUUUGAGGGAAUGUAAUGUUUUGAGGGAAUUCAACUACUUUAAGGUGAAUUCUAUUGUUUGAAUUCACCUCAAAGUAGUUGAAUUCCCUCAAAACAUUACAUUCCCUCAAAACAUUCCCCCAUCCAAACACACUCUAAGGUAUUCUCUACUUUGGCCAGGGGCAUUAUCCCUCCAUCUAAAAAUAUUUUCAUAAACAAAAUUGAAAAGUAAUAACAAUGAAUGAUGUUAGAUUAAUGAAAGUUAAGUAUAUAUUUUUCUAAUUGAAAGUUAAACUCAUUACCUCCCUGUUACUCCAAAUCGGUGGACGACUGACUUUAAUUAUUACAAUAGCUUAUUUACGUAUUAUGUUUGUGUGUAUAAAUAAAUAUCAGCUACAUCUCCCAAUAUGAUGCAUGCAAUAUCAUAAUAAGUCUCUUGUUCAAUUAUAAUACAUCAGUGAUUGCCAAUACUUUCAUUUUAUUGUAUUCAAAUGCUUCAGAGGAUGAAGUUCUUACCAAUGUCGUGUCUUCUUUUGUUCUUCUAUGUGUAUGUAAUUGCCACAUCACCUCAUGCUGCAACAAAAAUCAAAGGCAGUGAGGCAGAUGCUCUGUUGAAGUGGAAAGCAAGCCUUGACAACCACAACAGGGCAUUGCUCUCUUCAUGGAUUGGUAAUAAUCCUUGUAGUAGUUGGGAAGGAAUCACAUGUGAUGAUGAUUCAAAAUCCAUCAACAAGGUAAAUCUCACCAAUAUUGGACUAAAAGGUACGCUUCAAACUCUCAAUUUCUCAUCACUUCCGAAAUUGAAAAGUUUAGUUUUAAGCAGCAACUCCUUCUACGGUGUAGUUCCACACCAUAUUGGUGUAAUGUCCAAUCUAGAAACUCUUGAUUUGUCACUAAAUGAACUCUCUGGUACCAUUCCCAAUACCAUUGGUAAUUUGUACAAACUAUCCUAUCUUGAUCUCAGCUUUAAUUAUCUCACCGGGUCUAUCUCAAUUUCUAUAGGAAAGUUGGCCAAAAUAAAAAAUCUCAUGUUACAUUCGAAUCAACUUUUUGGCCAGAUUCCUCGUGAAAUUGGGAAUUUGGUCAACCUCCAGAGACUAUAUCUUGGAAAUAACAGUCUUUUUGGCUUCAUUCCUCGAGAAAUUGGAUAUCUAAAACAACUCGGCGAACUUGACUUGUCUGCGAACCAUCUCUCAGGCCCAAUCCCUUCUACAAUUGGAAAUUUGAGCAAUUUAUAUUAUCUUUACCUUUAUUCAAACCAUCUCAUUGGUAGCAUUCCAAAUGAAUUAGGAAAGCUCUAUUCCCUUUCCACAAUCCAAUUGUUAAAAAACAAUCUUUCAGGAUCAAUCCCUCCAUCCAUGGGUAACUUGGUCAAUUUAGAAUCUAUUCUCCUUCAUGAAAAUAAACUCUCUGGACCAAUUCCUUCCACUAUUGGAAAUUUAACCAAAGUGAGUGAAUUAUUAAUUUACUCAAAUGCUCUCACUGGAAAAAUUCCACCUUCCAUAGGUAAUUUGAUUAAUUUGGAUUCUAUUCACCUUUCACUAAAUAAUCUCUCUGGACCAAUUCCUUCCACUAUCGAAAAUUUGACAAAACUCAGUGCAUUAACUCUUUUAUCAAAUUCUCUCACUGAGAAUAUUCCAGCAGAAAUGAAUAGGCUUACGGAUUUGGAAGUACUCGAAUUAUAUGAUAAUAAAUUUAUUGGUCAUUUACCUCACAAUAUUUGUGUCGGUGGGAAGUUAAAAACAUUCACUGCUGCACUUAACCAGUUCAGAGGCCUAGUUCCAGAGAGUUUGAAGAAUUGCUCAAGCCUUGAGAGAUUGAGGCUUAACCAAAACCAACUGACUGGAAAUAUAACAGAGAGUUUUGGUGUGUAUCCAAACUUGGACUACAUGGACUUGAGUGAUAAUAAUUUUUAUGGUCAUCUUUCUCCAAAUUGGGGAAAGUGCAAGAAUCUCACAAGCCUAAAAAUCUCCGGUAAUAAUUUAACUGGAAGAAUACCACCAGAACUAGGCAGAGCAACAAAUUUACAGGAGCUUAACUUGUCUUCAAACGAUCUAAUGGGAAAAAUUCCAAAGGAGCUAAAAUAUUUAUCUUUGUUGUUCAAACUCUCGUUAAGUAACAAUCAUCUUUCUGGAGAAGUUCCUGUACAAAUUGCAUCAUUGCAUCAACUAACUGCAUUGGAGCUUGCAACAAAUAACUUAAGUGGCUUCAUCCUGGAAAAACUUGGUAUGUUGUCUAGGUUAUUGCAGUUGAAUUUGAGCCAUAAUAAGCUUGAGGGGAACAUUCCUGUUGAGUUUGGCCAAUUGAAUGUUAUUGAAAACCUUGAUCUUAGUGGGAAUUCUAUGAAUGGAACCAUACCAGCAAUGCUUGGCCAGUUAAAUCACUUAGAAACAUUGAAUCUCUCACAUAACAAUCUCUCUGGUACCAUUCCCUUAAGCUUUGUUGAUAUGUUAAGCUUGACAACUGUUGAUAUAUCUUACAACCAGUUGGAGGGUCCGAUUCCAAACAUUACAGCUUUCAAAAGAGCUCCAAUUGAAGCAUUGACAAAUAACAAAGGCUUAUGUGGUAAUGUCUCUGGCCUAGAGCCUUGCUCAACAUCGGGUGGCACCUUUCAUAGUCAUAAUACUAACAAAAUUUUGGUGCUAGUUCUAUCCCUCACUCUCGGCCCUCUAUUGUUAGCAUUGAUUGUUUAUGGGAUCUCAUACCUCUUUGUCGAACUUCAAGCACAAAAGAACACAAGCCAGCACAAGAAUUUCAAAUUGAAAAUCUAUUUGAAAUAUGGAGCUUUGAUGGCAAAAUGGUGUAUGAGAACAUUAUCGAAGCCACUGAAGAUUUUGACAACAAGCAUCUCAUUGGGGUUGGAGGACAUGGAAAUGUUUACAAAGCAGAGUUGCCCACAGGUCAAGUUGUAGCUGUGAAGAAACUUCAUUCAUUACAAAAUGAGGAAAUGUCUAAUCUGAAAUCUUUCACAAAUGAGAUCCAUGCUUUGACAGAAAUUCGACAUCGCAACAUUGUUAAGUUAUAUGGGUUUUGUUCACAUCGACUACACUCGUUUUUGGUUUAUGAAUUCUUGGCGAAGGGUAGCAUGGACAACAUUUUGAAGGACAAUGAACAAGCUGGUGAAUUUGAUUGGAAUAAGAGAGUGAAUAUCAUUAAGGAUAUAGCUAAUGCUUUAUGCUAUCUGCAUCAUGAUUGUUCCCCUCCUAUUGUUCAUCGAGAUAUAUCCAGCAAGAAUGUUAUUUUGGAUAUGGAAUAUGUAGCUCAUGUCUCAGACUUUGGAACAUCUAAGUUUCUAAAUCCCAACUCAUCCAAUAUGUCUUCUUUUGCAGGCACCUUUGGAUAUGCUGCUCCAGGUCAAUUCCCUUUUUUAUAUUAAUUAAAGUUAUAAUAUUUUGUACUUUAUCUUUAGUACUUACAGGUAAAAUGAAAUUAUUUCACAAUUGUCUAAUCUACAUUUCAUGUUUUGUUUAUGGAAUCCUAUUUUUCACAUGAUAAAAUCUUUUUAAAUUUCUACAGAACUUGCAUACACAAUGGAAGUAAAUGAGAAAUGUGAUGUGUAUGGUUUUGGGAUAUUAACCUUGGAAAUACUUUUUGGAAAGCACCCUGGAGAUAUUGUAACUUAUUUGUGGCAGCAACCUUCACAAAGUGUUGUGGACCUGAGACUUGAUACUAUGCCAUUGAUAGAUAAGUUAGACCAACGUCUCCCUCAUCCUACAAAUACCAUUGUUCAAGAAGUGGCAUCGAUGAUAAGGAUUGCAGUUGCUUGCUUAACUGAAAGCCCGAUUUCUCGCCCUACCAUGGAGCAGGU